ACACUUGGAUUUUUUUUUUUUUAAGCAUGUGUGACACUUAAAGGCCUUAAUAAAGCUGUUGUUUACCAAUGGCGAUCUGGGGCUUGGGAGGGGGUGUUUUUUUUUUUUUUUUAAAUCUAUUUUUGAUGAAGACCUUUAAACAUGCUUCAUAUGUUUUAACAUUUUUCAAAUUAGUCUUUUAGUCAAUGUAGGAAAUGGCUUAAGUUUGGGGUCCCCCUCUCUCUACCCCUGUAAGCCAUUGCAAACUUGACAUUUAGUUGGAUGCCUGACUUGUUUUUAGUUCUAUGAACCUACACUGUAUGGAGAAAAUCUAUUGCAAGUGGUCUUUAAAAAGCAAAACCUGAGGCAGCAUGACCCAGGUCCAGCCAUGAAGUUGAAAAAGAUGCUCUUGAAUAUAGUAAACUUGAAGACCUCCAACUAAAAAUCCUUACACUGCACUUAUUCCUUCAAAUAAGUUUUGUCCGUUCAACUUAUGGAUUUAACAUGGCAGUGCACCAUUGGAACAGAAUGGGAAUCCAUAAGCCAUGCAACUUAACCAUUUAAGCCAUUCCAGUCCAUCCCAAGCCAAUGAAAUCUUCCACCACUUAAGAGAAAUAGUAGAACAUGAAAUAACGUUAAGCUGCAAGUCUGAACUUGCCUUGUCUUUCUGGAGAAGAGGGCAGUUGUAGGCAAGUUUUGAAGGAUUUCCUUAAGAGAGAUAACUAGUUACCUAUUUAAUUUUUACAGGUUGAGAAUUUUGGUCAUGAUGGUCAUGGAGUGCUGAUUUAUUCACACUAGAUAAAGCGGGCAGCAAGAGAAAUGCAAUGCUAAGAGUUGUUGAAGCAGAAGAAUGCUGAUUGUCCUUAAGGCACAACAGUUGCAUAAGCAGCCCUCAGCAGAAUUGGUUUGGUGCAGACAGUAGAAUUUUGCCUUUCAGGGGUUCCUGUGGCUCUAAGGAAGGCAUCCGUGUUGGUUAGCACUCUUAACUAGGGAGUGGCAGUUUCUUGAAAUGAGGAAUUGGCCAGGUGGAGGAAGGGGCGCAGUUAAGGAAAGUGGUAAGUGGAGGUAGUCAGGAAGUUCUUAGAGAUGGUGUGUGUAGAUUUUACAGCUUUGACUUUUCUUUAGCUAAAGUCGUGGAGAUAACUGACUGCAAUUUCGAACUUCCUAACUACGCCUGGUUGUCAGAAAGUUGGAUUAGAAAAAUGAAAGGCAUAAGAGGUAAUUUUAUCCAGUAUAAGUGUCUGAUUUUUUUCAGCAAGUAAAAUGUUUCUUGGUGUUAGUUAGUCAGGAACUGAGAUUUAGUCUUGAAACUAAAGGGAAGACUAAUAUCUGGAAACUAAAAAGUAACUGGAAACAGCUAAAACGAUAAAAAGCACAAUUUUAAGGACAAAAAACUGGAAAUGAUUGGGCUAUUUGGCUUUUUGCUUCUUAAAAAAUAGUGUUUUGUAAGCCUACCUUACCCCCCACCCCACCUCGUAUGUCUUGGAAACAAAUCAAGAUACUAUUUGAUAGUUUUAUUCUGUUGGAAAUUAGAGCCAAUAGCAUCAAAGCUAAUGUUCUUAAAGGAAACAGAUUUUGAGUUGUUGGGUUAGAAGAAACUAACUCACCUUUUGAGAGUUUUUGCUUAGUAAGUAUCAGUACUAUCCUGUUUAACAUAACAUUUGCAAUCGUGGAAAAUAAUCCAGAAAAUGUAACCCUUCUUUGACUGGCUCUUCUAAUCAGAGACCAGGAGGGUGUUGACCAAAUUUAAAUAGCCAUUGCACUUAAUAGCUGUCUUCCUCAAUCAUUCUGUAAUCUAAAUCACUUGGGUUUAUGCAUCUUGAGGAC
rnacentral:lncRNA from 1 species